GUGUUCGUUGUCCAUAACAUACACUGCCCAUACCAUAAUCCUUCCAUGGGCCACUCGAUCCAAAAUGUUGACAUCAGCAAACCACUCACCCACAUGACGCCAUACACGCUGUCUGCCAUCUGCCCUGUACAAUGAAAACCAGGAUUCAUCCAUGAAGAGAACACCUCUCCGAGGGGACAGACGCCAUUGAAUGUGAGAACUUGCCCAC